rnacentral:lncRNA from 1 species
UGGGGAAGUGGAGGUGGAUGGUAAAUGGGAAUACUCUUGUUUGAAUUUUUAAAAAUUUACAUUGUAAAUAACAUUAAAUACCAUUUGUUGUGCCCAUGAUAACUUCAUCCAAAAUAUAUAUAUUAGUCUGCUAAGAUAUGCCAUAACAAAAUAACACAGGCUUGGUGCCUUAAACAACAGAAAUUUUUCUUCUGGUUCUGGAAGCUGGAAGUCUAAGAUCAAGCUGUUGGUGGAUUUGAUUUCCCCUAAGGCCUCUCUCCUUGGCCUGCAGACCACCACCUUCUCUCUGUGUCCUCACCUAGCCUUUUCUCUGUGUCCUCACCUAGCCUUUUCUGUGUGCUGCAUCCCUGGCCUCUCUUCCAGUUCUUAUAAGGACCCCAGUCACAUUGGAUUUGAGCCCCAUCCUUAUGAACUCACUUAACCUUAAUUAUCUCUUUAAGGGCCCUGUCUCCAAACACAGUCAUGUUAGGGGGUUAGGGCUUCAAUUUAUGAAUCUGGGGGACAAUUUAGUAAAAAAAAUAGUAUGUGACAGCCCAGUUUAUAUACCUGCUUUCCAGAAACAAGAAUAUGGUUGUUAAUGUCUUCUCUUUAGCCUCAAGAUACAGUGCAAAUAUCUGUAGUUCCGUUCUUACGUAAGCUUUAUUUUACUUUUUCUAAAAACUAUAUUGAAAGUAUAGCAAUCCGAGUUAGAAAUUGCUUAUAAUGCAUUCAUCUAAUCAGCUCAGUGUUCUUACUGAACAAACUUUUAUUUCCAUGUUUACUCAUGUUUAUUUCAUCAGUUUCACCUGACAUUAUACCAUGAAUAUAUUUCUGUUUUGCUAGUGUUUUUAUUCUUACUGAUCACAUGUCCCUUUUUCGUCUUCCAUACCACUCCCAGCCUAGAGUUAAUGACCACUAACCACCGUAGCCACAUACUUUUCCAUGUUUGGAUAACCUUAUGCAGCAUAUACACCUAAAGGGUGGUGGUUUUUUUAGGGGGUGGUGGUGGAAGGGGGGAGACGGUCAUUGUUUUUACAAAAAUUAAAUUUCAUCUAUUUUACACAUCCUUUCCCCUGUCUUCCCCUUGUACUUUCCAACCUUCAGUUUCUUCUUUUUCUAAUUAGCUUUGUAGGAGUGACUUAAAAUAUAAUAAAGUGAAAUAACAUAGCAGUGAUAAUAAUAGAAUAAAAAUAAACGAAACGUGAUUGGAGAAACUGCACACAUGCACACCAAGAUUUCAGAUAUUCUUAUUCCUUCCAUGUACAGUUCUCAGUGGGUAUUUCAGACCUUCACUCCCAUCCUCAGCCUCUCCUAUUCAGUGCCAGCUUCUGUAACGCUGGAUGAUCUUUUCUUUGCCUAACGAAGAAAACUGGAGAUGUUAGGUAUGAUCCUCCUUUCAACUUUUGUGCCUCCUAUCUAAAUUAGUUGUUAACCAGCUUGUAAUGAAGGGAUAAACAUUGAUAACCCAAUAUUAUUUAGAAAAUAGAAAUAGAAUCAGAAUAUACUAUGAAAUGAGCUUACAAAUUUCAACAAGUGUCCACUAUUUUGGGAGUGUGUUUGCUCUUCUCCAGCAGUAAUCCAGAAAGCUCACUUUUUCCCCCGAGACUAUCUCAUACAACAUGUUUGCCCUGUAGCAAACAGCUCCUUAUUUUUUCAGUAAUGUAGAGCUAGACCAGUAUUCUUCUGUUGUUUUUAUUUUGUGGAGUUUUUGUGUGUAUUUUUAGUUUUUUGAAACAGGGUCUCGCUCUGUUUCCCAGGCUGGAGUGCAGUGGUGCAGUCUCCUCUCAUUGCAACCUCCAACUCUCUGGCUCAAACAAUCCUCCCACUUCAGCCUCUGAAGUAGCUGGGACUAUAUGUGCAAGCCACUGUGCUUGGCUAAUUUUUUAAUUUUUUGUAGAGAUGAGGUCUCACUAUGUUGUCCAGGCUAGUCUCAAACUUCUGGACUCAAGUGAUCCUGCCACCUCCGCCUCCCAUACCCCUGCGAUUACAGGUGCAAGCUACUGCACCUGACCUAGACCCAUAUUCCUAACCUAGUUCGUCAAAAGCAUAUGAGGAACUUUUUUUUCUUUAAAGUGUCCAGAUGUUAUCUCUCAUGUGUAUUACAGGGCUUCAAAUGUGAGAAUUGGAGUUUAGAUAGUUGUUUUUCCAAUUUUAAUUUAAGAUUUGCCUGUGGCCCUACUAUGUGAUUGAGCCUAGCUAAAGUAGUGUGGAGGAAUUUGCUUUUUACAGUACUGUAUGUCACAUGAAAGGGCAGGGGUCUUCAGAUUGCUGAUGUUCCCUCAGCCAUAGACCAUGCCCACUUUUGACGUGCUCUAGCCAAAGCUGCAUGAAAAUAUUUUUCAGUCCCUACUGGAUUUUUCUCUUAUGAAUGGUUAACAGUGCAGGUUCUGGAACCAAACUACCUGGAUUCAGAUUCUGGCUCUGCCGUUUAUUCGCUGUGUGUUGACCUUGAAUGAGUGAUUUAACUUUUCCGUGCCUCAGAUUCUUCAUCUAUAAAAUGGGCAUUAUGACAUAACACACCUUAGAGGAUUUUUUAAAAGAUUAAAUGGGUUUCCAGAUAUAAAACGUUUAGAAACUGUCUGCCACAUUAAGUAUUCAAUAAUUGUGAGCCCUUUUUAUAGUUUGUCAGUAUUGUUUACUCCUGUUCUGGUUUUGAGGAUCUUUAGCUUCCAUCCUCUACCUGCAUUCCUAGUGUUUUUUUUUUUCUCCCUACUUCUUAAAGUUGUGCUCAAGGUUUGGUACUUGGCCCCUUCCUCAUGCUUUUCACUUUUUCUGGUUGUGUCUGUUAGUUUGUCUUCUUAUUCUGCCUCCAUGAAUCACAGGUCAUUGUUUUCUAAUCAUACCCAUGUGAGUUCUAAACCAAUACAUAUUUGCAGUUGUCUUUUCAUCACAUAUACCUGGAUGUUUCGCAGACACUUUCGACUUGGCACAUCUGAAUUCAUCACUUUUUCCCAAAUCUGAUUGUCUCAUACUCCCUUGAUGAAAUGAUGUAAUAAUCCCAAAAUGAAUUAUUCUCAAUUCUACUUUUACCUCCCAUUGAUUACCAAGUGUCAGCAUGUCAGAUUUUUUAAUACUCCUUAGUACUAUGGCUGAUGAGGUCCGUCAUCUCUUAGUUUGACUGUUAGAUUUGUCCCUGAGUAGCACUGUCUUUGAUUUUGCCCCUGAAAUUCAUCUUCACACUGUUGACAGAAUAAUCUUUUAAAGUGGUUUGUUUUACAUGUCUGUCUUCCACUGCUGGACUGAGCUCUUAACAGGAGAUUGUAUCUCUUGUUUUUGUAAUCCUAGCACCUGUUAAAAUAACUAGCAACUUAGAGGUGCAGUCUUGCAGGUUUUCUGACCCUCCAGUCACCCUAGACCUGCACUGAUACAGUUUUCGUUAGCCAUUUAAAUUUAAAUAAAAUUGAACAUUCUGUUAAUUAGUAAUACUAGCUAUAUUUCAAAUGCUCAUAGCCACAUGUUACUGUUGACUACUAUAUUGGACAACAUUUUAGAACAUUUCGAUUAUCAUAGGAAGUUUCAUUGGACAGAGCUGCCCCAGCAGACCUUUGCUGAUGUGGAUGUCUUUCUGUAUUAACAUCCUUUUAACAUUCAGACACCUCCCAAAUGCUAACCUUAAUAGAUUGGCCUUCAGCAUUUAUGUCUCUCUAUCUUGAUCCUGCAAUUGAUGACUUUACUAUGUCUGCUCUGCAGAGAGCACCACUACCAGCAUGUGUCCAAUCAGGAAAGCCGACACUACAUAUUUCAACAGAGGAGAUGUGAGUACAGAGGCAUUAGAGAGUAACCCGGGGAUCACAACUGUAGGAUGCAGCUACUAGUCCUAAGGGUAAGAAAACAAAUGGGAAAAAAUUGGGGCUGCCAGAGCCUUAAAGCUCCAAAAAGGGUCAUCAUGGCAUUAGUGCUCAGACCCCUGAGGAGGCUUACCACCUACCUGCUCAUGGUAAUUCUGAGGGGUAAAGUAACGACAGUUCUAGAAGUUUCGAAGUAGUUGAAGGCUGGAAUUUGCUGCCGUUAUUACAAAGCUGAUAGGACUAGCCAUCAGAGAUGAACUAGAUCUUUUUUCAUCUUCCUGCCAACUUCCCUGUAGUACUUCCUACUGGCAGAACCUAAUAAGCAGCAGUCAGAGGGGUCAGAGAAGUGUAGUUUGCAGAGUCCCGGCCUCAGCACACAGAGCAGAGGACAGAAGGGUGGAAUUGGAGCUGAGAAACAAUAGAUGAAGAACCAGCACACUGGUUUCCUUCAAAGACUCAUUUUUAUCUAAAGGUAUUAGUCCCUAAAACGCCAGAUACUCAGGAAUUUGUAGAGAAAUUCUGGGCCCUCAAGAAUAAGUGUACUAGUUCGAAUUGAAAUCUUGUUACUCUUUUCUGUUAAACGAGACUGUAAUGCUGCUAUAUAGUGCUUAACUUUUAAAAUUGACAGUGGAUGAAUCUGCAUAUUAUAGUCAGGUGUUCAUGUCCAUCCAUUCAUUUAUUGAGUGCCUACCACAUGCCACACAAUCUAUCAGGUGGUAUGUAUAUAAAAUAAAACUUAGAUAAUAAGACAAAAGUAAUAAUUCACCCAAAUUCAUCUAUAAAUCCAGACUUAGGGACUGUUGACAUUUUUGUGUUCGUGCCUGUGGACAUCUUUCUGUGCAUAUGCAUGUACACACAUCACAAUAUCAUAAAAAGUUUAUAAAUGCAGAUGUUUCCAAGAAAGUGUGUAUUCAUCUACCUCUCUCCUGCUGUAUAGUAUUUGAUUAUAAGGAGAAUGCUCCAUUACUAUUUACCUGUGGACAUAGAGCAUAGGCUGCUACAUAUGUCUCUAUAUACUUUAUGCACUUUGUCUUUCCACUAAAAUUUCUCAAGGUAUAAUUUCUGUCUGGGUCACUGAAUAUGUAGAUUUAAAAUUUUGAGCUACAUUUUUCAAACUGCCCUUCACCAAAGAUGUUACAGUUUACACUGCCACCAAUAGUACAUGAGACUGUUCUUUCAUACAUUCAAUAACAGAAUAUUAUUGACCUUUAAUUUGUUUGAUAGCCAAAAGUGUGUUCUUCGCAUUUCAAAAUUUUUAGUGAGAGCAUAUUCCAAUAUGUUAAUUGACUAUUUGUAUUUCUUGUAUAGUUAACUACCUGUUUACAUCCUUUACACUUUUUCUUUUGGGUGUUUAUGUCUGUAACUUGGCAGUAGCUCAUAUUAGGAAUCAUUAUUAUACACGUUGCAAAUAUUUUUACAAUUAGUUUAUUUAUUAUUGCAUUAUAACCAUGCUUACGUAGUGGUGCUCUACUAUUUCUGCCUUAGGUAUAAUGUUUAGAAUUUUCUCUGGUCAGGGUUAUAAAAAUACUCAUGUUUCUCCUGAUAUUUUUAUGAUUUCAUUUUUAGAUCAGUCUUUAAUGCAGUUGACAGUUACAUUAAAGUAGUGAAAUAGUCAACAUUUUCUGUCAGUAUUAUCUGGUUGUCAUAAUACCAUUUAUAAAAUAAUUCCUGCUCUUCCUCAUUGAUCUAAAAUGUAACUUCCACUAGAUAAUCAUAUUUAUGUUUGAUAUUUACAAAUACUAUUCAGUUCUAUUUUGUCUGUUCAGCUACUUUCACUGAUUUAAUUAUUGUUGCUUCUUGUUUGACUAUAUAUUUAAAAUAUUUGUUUUAUAACUAAUACAAGGUUUCAUACCUAAUAGGUCAAGUAUUACUUCCCAACACAUACACCCUUAUCUCUUUCAUAAUUCCAUACUCUUUUACAGAUAAACUGUAGAAUUAUUUAAUCUUCCUUCAAAUACAGGUUCUAUUGGUAUUCUGAUUAUAAUACAGGAUACAUAGAUACAUACGACAUUGCAUGGGUCACAUAAAUUGUGGCACCUUUUCAAUAUUAAUAUUCUUAUUCAUAAAGAAUAUUGUUUGUCCUAUUAGGUUCAUAUGCCCCUCAGUAAAGUUUUUAGAUUAUUUUUCUUUAGUCAGGUAUCUUAAUGUGUUUUAAUGUUCUUGUAUUUAUGAAUGUGCUCCUUUUUUCUCCCCCUUUACAAAAAUGUUUUCUAAUUGAAUAUUUUCAUUUUUUAAAUCUCAGAACCUCUUCACACAAAUUAGUAAGGGCCUCAGAGAACUUUUAUGUUGGCAGGUAUGUCUGCUAAUAUUUACCACUUCAGAAAUUAAAAAUGUAAUUGAAAAGUGACAUGUCUAUGUAACAUUUAUGUUAGCAUAAAUAUUUUAAGUGAAAAAUGGCUAAAUUUUUUGCCUAGCCCUUCUUUUGGAGGCUUGUAGGGAAAUAAAAUACUGAUUAUAUCUGUCCCUGUACUCACACUUCAAGAAUAACACAUAGAAUUAACUUGGAAUUUGGACUAGCAAAGACUGAAUUAUUGAUCAUCUUAAAAAUGGAUGGAAAUCAUUUUUCAUGGUAGUCGUAUGAUUUCUUGGCAAUUAGCUAAUUUCUCAGGAAAAUUAAGGGUGACAGUGUGGAAGGUAGGCAUCUCCGUCAGUGUGGAAAUACCACCCUCUAAGACAACUGCUUUAUGCGUGGGUUGUACUUCCCUUGCCGCAUAGUUUGAAAAUGUCUCCAGGAAGAAAGUUUACCGGGUGUGCUUUACUGCUCUCAAGUAUUGCAGCCUUGUGCUAUCCAUUGUCCAGACACUGAAAAGAAUUGCUUCAUAUAUUUUUACCCAACUUUGAUUAUUAAUGGCAGGAAAGUUAUUCAGAUACCAACUGUUCCAUGAUGGUUAAAUCUCAGAAAUCUAUAAUUCUCAUAGAAGAUACCAUAGGAGAGUAUCUUUAAAUCUUGGAAUAACAAUGGGUCUCUUCAUACACACACACACACACACACACACACACACACACACACACACACACAAAUUAAACAUGGUGGAAAUUUUUGACAAAUUUAACCACAUUAAAUAUUCUGUCCAUUAAGAUUCCCCAAAGAUGGUGGAAAGAUGGCAGGUUAGUGGGAGAAGAUAUUUGCAGCAUGCAAGGCAAGAUGACAAUGCACUAAUAACAAAAUUUCAUAAAACAAUGGACUUGGGGCUUGGGAAAAAUAAUUAUGACAUGCUUUCUGAAGUGUCCCCAGAUAGUUUCAUAAAAAAUGGAGCAAAUAGGCUAAAGAAAAACCCAUAGACAUCAUGUUCAAAAGAACUGAUGACAAGGCAUGUUCAUAACCCAUAAAAUACAAGUGGAUGCAGCUAAAUAACUGCAAUACUUUUGAAAGAGUUUGGCAGGUUUCGAAGAUGUGAGGAGCUACAAAGCAGAUUAAAAAAAAAAAAAAACCUACCACACAUACAUUUAAAUCAAUACAAACAUGCCUGAUAAUUAAAACAAAAAAGGCUUGAACAAGCACUUUACCAAAAAAAAAAAAAAAAAAAAAAACAACGAAAAACUAAUCAACGUGGAAUGGUGUUCAGUCUUAUUAGCAGCCAGGAAAAUGCAAGUUAAGGCCACAAGGAGAUAACACCAAACACAUGUAAAACUGAAAAAAAACAUUUAGCCAUCCUCACUAGCAAAUGUUGGUGAAGAUGUAUCUGUAGUAGUGGGAACACUCAUUAUACUGGUGUGUGUGUAAUUCAGUCCAACCACUUUGGAUUACUUUAAAAAUCUGAAGUUAUGAGUAUAUUCAGCAAUUCCUAAGUAUUUUUUCUAAAGAUAUCUAGAUACAUGCGUAUCAUUUUACAUGUACAAAAUGUUCCUGGAAGCGUAGUUUGUAUUAGCAAAAACUGGAAACAAAUAUCCAUCAACAGUAAGCACAUAUUGCACUAUAUUCAUAUAAUGGAAUACUGUACUGCAAUAGAGAGCAAACCACGGUGCAUGUAUCAACAGGAGUGAAAUAGUAUUGAAUGAAAUAAGACAAAAGCACAUAUAGUGUAAUUUAUUUAAUGUUCCAAAAAACCUUAGGUAAACCCAAAACAUACAAGAAUGCACUCAUGUAUAGUAAAACGAAAAAGACAGAAGGAUUGCCAUGUAAGUUAGAUUAAUCAUUACUUGUAGGAGGGAGGAAAGAUGUAUGGUUUGAAAGGGACAUUUGGGAGUGGCUAUACUUGCUUCUAAUAUUCGAUUUUGUAAUCUGUAAGUUUGCAAUUGAAGUUAUACACUUGGGAUUUAGAGUAGGAUUGUCCCUUGGAGAUAUAAAGUUAAAUACAAAUAUAAAUCAUCAGCUCUGAGAUGCAUUUAUAGCCAAGGAAAUUCAUGAUACCAUGUAAUGAAAUGAUAACGAAGAGAAGGGCCUACGACGAGUUCUGAGGAGCACUGAAAGGUUCUAUGUUGGAGGGAAAAUCUGCAAAGGAAAUAGAGACGAAUAUUGAAUGAAGUAGGAAAGUCUGUGUCUCUCAGGAGAAUUCUUCCAAGCAUAAGAAGUAGGCACCUGUGUGAAGUGCUUCAGAGUAAAAUGAGGAUAGAUGAGUAGGCAAUCUUGACAAGGGUUAUUUCCGAAUGAUGGGGACCAAGGCUCGUCAGAGUGGCUUCAAGAGUUCAGUGGGGACUUCUUUUCCCAGAAGCAUGCAUCAUACAGCUGGAAAACACUCCCGUUAACAAGACACAGGAUUGAAAAAAGUAUUAAUAUUGAAACAGUUUUCAUGCAUUCCUCAGACUAAGAAGGAAGGAAACAAUAUUCUUAGUGGCCAAGAAUCAAGGAAACCUGAAAUCAUUUUGACCAACUGAUCUAAAAGGAGGAAUAAAUUACUUUUCCAGUCUCCCCAUAGGAAAUUUUACAAAAUUAUUAAUAUGUGAAGGGGUGUGGCCCAAAAUGAAUAAAAUUACAGAGACUACUGGAUUUAAUGAUAUUUAUUGGUAUUUGUCAUAUUUUUGUAAUUUUAAUUUUCAUCCUAAAUAACUUUCUUCACAAUUUUACAUUUUAAAAUUUAACAACUUGUCCUCCCAGUAUAGAUUGGAUCGUUAGGCCAUGAAACAUAAUUCUGGUGAGUAAGCAGGGGAAAAAAAAAAAAAGAGCCUAGGGCCCAUGCAAAAGGCAAAAUUAUCAGGAAAAAGGGAGAAAACUUUCUCCCCCAAAAAAGACAAGAAAACAACUUGCGUUUUUUUAUAAUUUACUCUAGAUGAAGGGAGCAAUUCAUACAAGCUGAGUAUUUGGUUAUGUGUGUUUGAGGCUAGAGUUGACAUUGCAUAGAUUAUCUGAAACAUCUCAAAAUGAGUACUUUCAAAUGGCUCCAGGUUUGUAGUGAUCCCAGGAACCUGGCAGUAACAAAAUUAAAUCCUUUGUGAGUUUAAUUGUUAAGUGUUGGCUUUGAGGAACAUAAUAUUUUAUUUUAUUUGAUAUAUAUAAGCUGUGACCAAAAGGUAAAUAUAAACAUUUGUAGAAAUUUACCAAAAAAAAAAAAAAUUAUUUCAGAUGUGGAUGGUGUAAAAGAAUUGACAGAAAUAGCAUGAUAAAUAUAAUCAUGUUUAUCAAAUUAAUCAUCCCAAAAAUGGGGCCUAAAUUAUCUUUAGAGCCUCUCUCUAAUUUCAUGGUGAGUUGGUUUGGGAGAGGAAUCUCCCAGAUCCCCGUUCAAGGGAGCGUUUCCUGCUGGCACAUCCUUCAGGGUCUACCUCAGCUGCAGAGGGUCACUAGAGGGCUUACUUUUCCUGCGGUCUCCCACAUCUUGGGCCCAUGGAUGCAUGAAUAAGUGGUCAAGCCACUUUGGCCCAAUGCAGGGCCACGUAUGCCCUAGAGUCCUUCACUGGGUUGACCAUGCCAUUGAUCAUCAUAGUUGUACUUCUCUCUCUACCCAAUCCUAACUUUCCUAAUUCUGUCCACAGAUGCUGAUUGAUCUAAUCUCGGCUUGUGGAGGACGAACCUCUUGCAUACACUUACCCAAAUAAUUUACUGUGAUUAGGUUUCUUAGGUAUACCGAUGCAAAAACAGAACGAAAUUCAUCUUGCAAGCAACUGUCUCUCAUUAUAGGUUAGUAAAUGAGUGUUUUGUUUAAUAAACAUAUCUAUUAAUUUUAUUAAUCCAAACUAGUUCACCUAAUAGUACUCAAAAUAGCAAAGAUAAAUGGUUAAGCUAGAGGCUUCCCUAACAUGAAAAUUGACUAAUAAUUUUGUUAAAUGUCUCUAUGCUGUCACCAGUGUGUAUAUAUUGGCCAUUCUUUUGAUCACUUUAUUGAUAUAUUUUGCUUGCAGUUGAAAAAAAGAUAGUUAUACUUAGAUAACUUGAUUGCUGUCUUCUAAAUUCCCAGUAGGUGGUGUCAUAAUACUGUAUUUAGGGAUUUUUUUUUAUUUAUUUAAUAAAGUGGAAAAAGAAAGUGCAAAUGUGUUUACUUAAGUAUAUGUACUUGCAUUUUAAAAGUGUUUUGGUUUUAUUAUGAGAUGACACUGUUAUAAACAACUUAAUUCCUUAUAUGUUUCUUCAAUUCACAUUUUUACUAGAAAAUAUGUACUGACAGUUUUAUUCUUUUAUUCUCUAGAAUGAUACAAAACUACCUAGUCAAAAGAACAAGAUGGCCA